rnacentral:sRNA from 2 species
GGCAGCCCACCGCCUAAUCGCCGCGAGGCGAGCCGGGGACCCAUGUGUAGUAGUGGGGUGAAUCCACGUAACCGUGGUAGGGAUCGCUUCCGUCCCGAACCCGUCAGCUAACCCGGUCGGUGGUCACGCGGAAGGAUUG